rnacentral:rRNA from 1 species
UACGUAGGUGGCAAGCGUUGUCCGGAUUUACUGGGCGUAAAGAGCGCGCAGGCGGCUGGUCAAGUCCGAUGUGAAAUCUCCCGGCUCAACUGGGAAACUGCAUCGGAAACUGAUCGGCUUGAAGGUGGGAGAGGGUAGUGGAAUUCCCGGUGUAGUGGUGAAAUGCGUAGAUAUCGGGAGGAACACCAGUGGCGAAGGCGACACGCUGGGCCGUACCUGACACUGAGGCGCGAUAGCAUGGGGAGCAAACAGG